GAUUGACAGCUGUGAUUGACACACCCGCUGCUCUCCCCGGCUCCGAGACUCGCAUUAAGUCGGAUUAUUGUCACACUAUUAUAGUAGAAUAUCAGGUCUCUCCAGAUACAAAACCAGUGCUGCUAUUCUGAGGCGCAGAAACGGAGGAUUUGGAAGUGGCUGAGCAACCCGGGAGCCACCGUUUAGCAACGCCCCAGAACAACAGCAUGCCAAACGAAUGUCACCCUGCAGAGCCACGCUGCUCCACUGAAGCACUGAAAGCUGCAAUUCAAGCAAACUGGGGGGUCGAGGACCACGAGAAACAGCAGAGAGACCACCUGAUGUUAUAAUCCUCAUCUUCAGUGUAAUUCAUGGAAAAAAUACAGUAACUGUGGAACUCAGAAAACAUGCGACUGUCUGAAGUCAACAGUUCUGAAAUUUCACAUUUUUUUCUAUGGUAAAAUAUUCCAGCAGUUAACAUUUCUUUGCCUCACCGUGAUUUGAAAUUCAAGAAUAGUUGAAUAAACUAAAAUACUGAAAAUACAAAAUUUAUGUUAAAUUAUUUUCCAUUAGUUCCUGAUUGUGAAAUUGUGGCUACAACUGGCUUACAUCUGUUUGCAUUUUUAGAGAUUACCACCACCUACACAGUAUAUAAGCACACUCAUCACACUCCGGUUUUAUCCCUAUAGAAGAGGAAAAGCAUUCACUGGAAAAAAUACUUAUGACCUCGCCCAGAAACACUGAAACAAAACAGGCAUCUUGGUAGACUUUGUGGCUGUGUCUCUCAGUCGAAACGCUAUUCACUACUGCCCCCUGCUGUGGGAAUAACCUGGACCCUGAUGUGACGCAUACUGUGAACACUUUUCCCAGCAGUGGACAGAAGACUAGAAUAUCCUACCAAAGAAGAGGUAAUGUUAUUUCACUGAAAUAAUACUGACGUCAAAGCCAGAUUACUUCUGUUGAAGACUAUUCAGUAGACAUAUGUGCACUCUGAGAGGUUAAAUAUG